CCUACGGGGGGCAGCAGUGGGGAAUAUUUGACAAUGGGGGGAACCCUGAUCCAGCGACGCCGCGUGAGUGAAGAAGUAUUUCGGUAUGUAAAGCUCUAUCAGCAGGGAAGAAAGAAAUGACGGUACCUGACUAAGAAGCCCCGGCUAACUACGUGCCAGCAGCCGCGGUAAUACGUAGGGGGCAAGCGUUAUCCGGAUUUACUGGGUGUAAAGGGAGCGUAGACGGCGAUGCAAGUCUGAAGUGAAAGGCGGGGGCCCAACCCCUGGACUGCUUUGGAAACUGUAUGGCUGGAGUGCAGGGGAGGUAAGUGGAAUUCCUAGUGUAGCGGUGAAAUGCGUAGAUAUUAGGAGGAACACCAGUGGCGAAGGCGGCUUACUGGACUGUAACUGACGUUGAGGCUCGAAAGCGUGGGGAGCAAACAGGAUUAGAUACCCGUGUAGUC
rnacentral:rRNA from 1 species